rnacentral:lncRNA from 1 species
GUAAUGGUGUAGGAAAAUCUCACACUAUACAACACGUAUACAGUAAUUAUAAAAGUUGUUGAACUCAAGAACUGUGGAAAAGAGUUUCAAAGCCUAAUCACAUACUGUGUGUAAAGUUUAUUUAACUGUACCAGUCUUAAAUAUCUUUGAAUGUUCACUUUGCUUGUGUUAUGAAACAACUGAAAUUCCUAUUCCUAAUACUUUUAAAGCUAUG